rnacentral:rRNA from 1 species
UACGUAGGGUGCGAGCGUUAAUCGGAAUUACUGGGCGUAAAGCGUGCGCAGGCGGUUUUGUAAGCCAGAUGUGAAAUCCCCGGGCUUAACCUGGGAAUGGCAUUUGGGACUGCAAGGCUGGAGUGCGGCAGAGGAGACUGGAAUUCCUGGUGUAUCAGUGAAAUGCGUAGAUAUCAGGAGGAAUACCGAUGGCGAAGGCAGGUCUCUGGGCUGACACUGACGCUCAUGCACGAAAGCGUGGGGAGCAAACAGG